AUUGAACGCUGGCGGCAGGCCUAACACAUGCAAGUCGAGCGAGCGGCGGACGGGUGAGUAAUGUAUGGGGAUCUGCCCGAUAGAGGGGGAUAACUACUGGAAACGGUAGCUAAUACCGCAUACUAUCUGAUGAACCCAUAUGGGAUUAGCUAGUAGGUGUGGUAAAGGCGCACCUAGGCGACGAUCCCUAGCUGGUCUGAGAGGAUGAACAGCCACACUGGAAAGGAGACACGGUCCAGACUCCUACGGGAGGCAGCAGUGGGGAAUAUUGGACAAUGGGCGCAAGCCUGAUGCAGCCAUGCCGCGUGUAUGAAGAAGGCCGUCGGGGUGUAAAGGACUUUCAGCGGGGAGGCGUUACCCGCAGAAGAAGCACCGGCUAACUCCGUGCCAGCAGCCGCGGUAAUAC
rnacentral:rRNA from 1 species